AACGAACGCUGGCGGCAUGCCUAACACAUGCAAGUCGAACGAGACCUUCGGGUCUAGUGGCGCACGGGUGCGUAACGCGUGGGAACCUGCACUUAGGUUCGGAAUAACUCUCCGACAGGGGUGCUAAUACCGGAUAAUGUCUUCGGACCAAUGAUUUAUUGCCUCUGGAUGGGCCCGCGUUGGAUUCGCUAGUUGGUAGGGUAAAAGACUACCAAGGCGACGAUCCAUAGCUGGUCUGAGAGGCUGGUCAGCCACACUGGGACUGAGACCCGGCCCAGACUCCUACGGGAUGCAGCAGUGGGGAAUAUUGGACAAUGGGCGAAAGCCUGAUCCAGCAAUGCCGCGUGAGUGAUGAAGGCCUUGGGGUUGUAAAGCUCUUUUACCCGGGAUGAUAAUGACAGUACCGGGAGAAUAAGCUCCGGCUAACUCCGUG
rnacentral:rRNA from 1 species